CAGCAGCCACGGUAAUACGAAGGGGGCUAGCGUUGUUCGGAUUUACUGGGCGUAAAGGGCGCGUAGGCGGACUGAUAAGUCAGAGGUGAAAUCCCAAGGCUCAACCUUGGAACUGCCUUUGAUACUGUUUGUCUUGAGUUCGAGAGAGGUAAGUGGAACUGCGAGUGUAGAGGUGAAAUUCGUAGAUAUUCGCAAGAACACCAGUGGCGAAGGCGGCUUACUGGCUCGAAACUGACGCUGAGGCGCGAAAGCGUGGGGAGCAAACAGGAUUAGAGACCCCUGUAGUCCCUGUCUCUUAUAC
rnacentral:rRNA from 1 species